rnacentral:rRNA from 1 species
UACGGAGGGAGCUAGCGUUGUUCGGAAUUACUGGGCGUAAAGCGCGCGUAGGCGGCUUUGUAAGUUAGAGGUGAAAGCCCGGGGCUCAACUCCGGAAUUGCCUUUAAGACUGCAUCGCUAGAAUCCGGGAGAGGUGAGUGGAAUUCCGAGUGUAGAGGUGAAAUUCGUAGAUAUUCGGAAGAACACCAGUGGCGAAGGCGGCUCACUGGCCCGGUACUGACGCUGAGGUGCGAAAGCGUGGGGAGCAAACAGG